rnacentral:lncRNA from 1 species
CCAAAUAUCAAGAUUAAAUAGCCAAUUUAUAUAGAAAAAUGCAAAGGGAAGUAACACUUAGCAAAUUUAUCACUUUUGCACUUUCAGUCGAGUGAGCUAUGCAAGGCACUAGCGGGUCGAGUGAAAGAGACGCACCGGUCGUGUGAGUAUCCAGCUGGGUUCGGUCGAGUGAACUUGUGCUCGGUCGAGGUACACACGCGUAUGUAGAGUAAAUCAAUGGGAAGCUCGAGUGGUGGUUGCUUCUGUCGAG